UUACUCUUACGGGAGGCAGCAGUGGGGAAUUUUGGCCAAUGGGCGAAAGCCUGAUCCAGCCAUGCCGCGUGAGUGAAGAAGGCCUUCGGGUUGUAAAGCUCUUUCGCAAGGAAAGAAAACUUACCUACUAAUACUAGGUGAGGUUGACGGUACCUUGAUAAGAAGCACCGGCUAACUACGUGCCAGCAGCCGCGGUAAUAA
rnacentral:rRNA from 1 species